GACGAACGCUGGCGGCGUGCUUAACACAUGCAAGUCGAGCGGAGCGGCGAACGGGUGCGUAACGCGUGAGUAACUGCCCCCCUCUCUGGGAUAACAGUUGUAAACGGCUGCUAAUACCGGAUAGUGUGGGAUGACUCGCGUCCUAUCAGCUUGUUGGUGGGGUAGUGGCCUACCAAGGCGACGACGGGUAGCCGGCCUGGGAGGGCGACCGGCCACAUGGGGCUGAGGUACGGCCCAGACGCCAACGGGGGGCAGCAGUGGGGAAUAUUGCGCAACGGGGGAAACCCUGAGGCAGAAACGCCGCGGGCGGGAUGACGGCCUUGGGGGUGUAAACCGCUUUAAGCCAUGAAGCGGUAGUGGCAGAAGAAGCACCGGCUAACUACGUGCCAGCAGCCGCGGUAAUAC
rnacentral:rRNA from 1 species